UAACUGGCGGAGAGAGACACAAAGCAGUCUUCAGCUUCCUCUGUUCCCUCGUCAAGGAAGUCAGGGCCAACCCCUACUGCACACCCAGAAGCUCCUCAGUCAGAACAGCACAUUGCCCCAAACCCCUCCUCGGAGUCCUUAUGCCCUCCACCCCAUGACAGACAUCACAGUAGUCGCCGGCCCCUGGCUGUCUGCAAACCAUGCCCCAAACACCCCAACACAGACAAGAAGUGGGUUGGCCAGGAGACGGGCCACAGAUGAGCCCCCCACUACUUCUGUGCUGCUGGGAGGUCGGGAGUGGGCCACUGAGGACCAGCUGCCCCAGCUAGGGCAGAUCCCACGGUUACUCCCAGCUGUGUCCCAUGGUGAGCACCCCAAUGGGACCAGUCUCACGAGCCGGCUGUGAGAUUAUAUUGCAUAAAGAACCUGAACCAGAGCGGGGCGGUGGUGGCGCACACCUUUAAUCCCAGCACUCGGGAGGCAGAGGCAGGCGGAUCUCUGUGAGUUCGAGGACAGGCUGGACCGACAGCCUCCAAAACAAUACAGAGAAACCCUGUCUCGAAAAACCAAAAAAAAAAAAAAAAAGAACCCAAACCAGUGAGUACCAGUUCUUUCUAUUAGUUUAUAUUCCCCCACUUACUAUUUCUUAACAGUAAUAGUGUUUGCUUUGUGUUAUUAAAAAAUUGGCCAGACGUUGGUGGCGCACGCCUGUAAUCCCAGCACUCAGGAGUCAGAGGCAGGUGGAUCUCUGAGUUGGAGGCCAGCCUGGUCUACAGAGUGAGUUCCAGGACAGCCAGGGCUACACAGAGAAACCCUGUCUCAAAAACCAGAAAGGAAAAAAAGAAUGAGAUUGGAGAUGGACCCCAGAGGUCUAUGCACAUUAAACAAGGUCCAUCACGAUCUUUCCAGAGUGUGUGUGCAUAUUAAACACUCAUGGCACUCAUCCUACAAACCCUGAAGCUCAGAGAACUGAAACAGGUUCCCGGACUCUCGGGGCGUAUACGCAACACAUACCAGCGACAGAGACUCAAGUGCGUUCCCUUCUGGCACCCUCCACGCUUUCUCCCGGAACCGUGGUGCUGACUAGAGGCUGCUCAGGUGGACGAUGAGGGGCCUGCCUGCUGCUCGGUCUGUCCCCACACCACCCAAGACUCAGCCUUGGGGGCCCCGCCCAGAGCUUCCGCUAACCCUCAGGCCGUGGUCCCUGCAGUGUGUCCCUGCCCCGCCCCCAUCUCGCUCGCAGCCGGCCCACCUGUUGUGCUCAGGCUGCUAGAAGCUUGGGACAACGGUAAGGUCCCUGCGCCCCCUUGGGGCGUGACCUGGGGAGAGAGAAAAGGAAGGACGGUAAGACCCUGUCACAAGAUACCCUCCCACCGUGUUCCCUGUGCACACGACUCCCACUGACCCUCCACAGGGUGGGGCAACAGGGCCCCGGGGGCAGCACUACAUUUAGACCCUAUCACUCAUUUUCCCAUCGUCCUCCCCACAUGUGCCACAAGCAGGAGGUGCAGUAACUCUCAGCUGAGAGCCCCCCCCCUUCUCCUCUGACACUAUCCAGCUAAUGUCCCUGCAGAGCUGGGUCCUGUCUUGGGUGACUGUGCCCGGACAACCGCUCUGUCUGCUGCUGCUGUUGGCUCUCCUAGAGGGAACACACCUGUCUUUGCAAGAGAAUCUGACAAGCCUGGAUUACAUAGUACCUCCCGGGUCUGAGGAUGGCUCUUCCUGUCUGUGGGUGGGAACCCGUGAUGUAGCCCUCCCUCAUGGUAACGUCAGUGUACACGCGGGAGCCUGUGCCUACCACGGAGAGAAGGAACUCUCAAGAGUUGUUUUCCGACCUCCACUCAGUGGCUGACACGUUUUCCUGGAAACUGUGUCCCUCUGUGACUGUGCUCGGUAUGGGACCUCCUGUUCCCAGAACCGACUCCUCUGGUCUCUCUUCUAGGUGAGUCUGCUUUACCCAGAUGCCUACGGUCCCUGACCCCCACCCCACACCUAGCGCCCCCCGCCCCCAGCUCUGGGUACCAGAACCAGACGCGGAUCACCUCCUUCUCCAUGUGCAGCUGCUCCGCGAUCAGCAGGAUCUCCUCUGAGGUAGGCUUCUGGUUCUACAGGCAGGGAGAGAGAGGGCUGUUGAGCUGGGUCCAUCCGCCCGAUACCCUUCCCGGUCGCCAGGGGGCGAAGCUCACCGCUAGAAAACUCUUCUCUAAGGCGAAGCGGACAUUCGUCUCAAUGCUGGUUCUCUUCUUGCGUCUCCGCCCCGGCAGCCCGUCGAAACCCAGGCUGGGGCUGCUCAGCUGGUUGGGGCUGGGUAGGCUUGAGUCCACAGACAUGGUUUCUGCGAAGACAGAAGGCAGGGAUGUGGUCCCAGACCUGUGUGAAGCCCAGCUUGAUGCGGCGUUGCUUGAAGGUGCGAGCGAAUUGUUCCAGUUCCUCCAGGUCACUCGGCUCCUCCGGGUGGGAUGGCGGCUCCAAGCAUUUUGGGGGCUGCGGGUGUGAGAGGUGCGAGUCGGGCAGCAUGGGGCGAGUCACAGCCUGGUGGGGUGGGCAGGCGGAUGGGAUGCGGGAAGGAGGACCCGGAUGUGCCUAAGCAGUGGGUGUGUGCCUGCUCUCUUCAGACUCCCCUCACCUGCCCAGGACACCCACACCAAUUGCUAAUCCUGCAAAUGUUUCUCGCUCUGCCACCAGCCAUGGGGCUCUCAAUGACCAGAACUUUUCAUCUUCCCUUAGAGACCCGAACUCCCGGAAGGAGGAGGCAGUCUUUCGCUGAUGGCUCCUUGGGCUCAAAGCCCAGAGCUGGGGGCAGGGGGUUCCCCCUCCAUUAUCGUCUGCCACUGACCUUUUGGGGUAGCUCAGUCUUAGUCUUAACCCUCCCUGGGCCCACAUUCCCUUCCGUAGAAUGGAAGCCAUCACUGACUCUGCCUGCCCACUGAAUUGUUAGGGGAUUAAGGUUACUUAUUAGCAAGUUGUCCAACCCCGUCCUGCAUAGGUAUAGGGUGACGUCUGAGGUUCAGUCUGUAGAUGCGGCAAUGCUGUGUGGCUGCCUGGACUACAAAUGAAUACUGUCUGGUGAGGAUGCUGGAGAUGGGGAGGCGGUACACGCGGAGGAUGGGAUCUAUCUCGAGCUCAGCUUCACUGUGCAUUUAGAGCUGCACGCGUACAGCUGCUCAGGAGAACAGACAGGAGGCUUCUAACUUUAAGGGUCUCUCAAUGAACCUGAAAGUUAUUGAUUUGGCCAGGAUGGCUGGCCGAGGAGCCACCUGUCAUAAACCUCCAUGCCCCCGAGAAUGAAAUUGCGACCAUGCUCAGCCUUUAGCCUGGUUCCUGAGGACACUUUACCAACCGAGCCACCUCCCCGGCCUCUGACACAAUAUUUCAUGAGAUUUUUCGGAGUCAAGGCUUUGUUACCUGCUUCGCUUCCCUUCAUUCUAGGAAGGCUGGAGCUGACCUGGGCAGGGCUUACCCCAGUUCCUACACAGCAAGUGGGUGGCAGAGUAGGGCGGGGCCUCAGGUCCCUCAACCGCUCUAGGAUGUGGGGUGGGCCCCGGAGAGCAGAGACUUUUACAGGCUCCACCCCCACCCCACCCACUCAGCCCUCGCUCGCGCCUCACUCGGAUGCCGGAGGCUUGACAAACUCUGUGGACAGUCACCUGUGUAGGAAGCGCAGCCCGGGGCUGGGAGGUCAGGAGAGCUCCCUGGGUUUGCUGAGGUAGCUGGAAUAGAUUUGGCGUCGGCAGCAGGCCUGGGGAGACAGGAAGGCGGGAGGUGAGUGGGCGAGGGCAGGUGACUGGGACUGGGGCCACGCGGGAGAGCGUCAGCUGGGCUGGGACCUCACCUGGCUGACUCUGCUGGGCCUGGGGCAGCAGGAACUGCGCAGGAGGCUGCAGGUGGUGGCCCGGGACAAGCACCAGCUGUUGGAGCUGGAGGAGUUGCUGUAUGUCCUGGCAGAGAGGGGACGAACAGACAGAAACACAGGCUGAAUCCUGGCUUGGUCUCCCCCUUCAGCAGCAUGCCAGCCCCCACGGAAGCCGGGAGUCAUGUGGUACGGCAAGCUGUGGUCUGUCGAACUUGGAACGGCUCACUGACCGAGGGGCGCCUGGAAGCCCCUUCCUCCCAUGCUGCCCCGGGAGGGUUUGCUCUUUGUCUCUGUGUUCCUGGUGAAAUAUUUGCCUUGCCUCACAUUCCCACAGAACGAAUAGACUUGUUUAAAAAUGUAAA